GGUGAAGCCAGGGGGAACUCUGGUAGAAGCUCGUAGUGAUUCUGACGUACAAAUCUAUCGUUGAACUUGUAUAUAGGGGCGAAAGAAUAAUCGAACCAUCUAGU
rnacentral:ncRNA from 1 species